rnacentral:rRNA from 1 species
UGGUGGAGUGAUUUGUCUGGUUAAUUCCGAUAACGAACGAGAUCGCAUCCUAUUAACUAGUCGCCCUAAUCUUCUACAUGGGUGAAGCUUAUCGGCUUCUGGCAGGCGGGGCAACUCGCUCUGUCAGACUGGUGAGUGGAUCCUUGAUGUAUUGGGGUGUCUUACUUCUUAAAGGGACUGUCGGUGUUUAACCGAAGGAAGUGUGGCAAUAACA